UGGGGAAUAUUGCACAAUGGGCGCAAGCCUGAUGCAGCCAUGCCGCGUGUGUGAAGAAGGCCUCGGGUUGUAAAGCACUUUCAGCGAGGAGGAAGGGUUCAGUGUUAAUAGCACUGUUCAUUGACGUUACUCGCAGAAGAAGCACCGGCUAACUCCGUGCCAGCAGCCGCGGUAAUACGGAGGGUGCAAGCGUUAAUCGGAAUUACUGGGCGUAAAGCGCACGCAGGCGGUUUGUUAAGUCAGAUGUGAAAUCCCCGCGCUUAACGUGGGAACUGCAUUUGAAACUGGCAAGCUAGAGUCUUGUAGAGGGGGGUAGAAUUCCCAGGUGUAGCGGUGAAAUGCGUAGAGAUCUGGAGGAAUACCGGUGGCGAAGGCGGCCCCCCUGGACAAA
rnacentral:rRNA from 1 species